rnacentral:misc_RNA from 1 species
ACCUUUCAAAUCAGGGUGCGGCGCGGCCCCCGAGGAGCGGAAACAAUCCUUGGGAGGUAUGCGGGGGCUUCGAGCCCCCCAUUUACGCACGCACGACUGCCAUCCUUACUUUACGAGCACCUUCUGUUCUCCCUCGGCGGGGCAACCUGCCGUUGGAAUCGAAUAAACUCUUUUUGCAUCUAGCAUUACCUGUUCCGAAACAAACAAUCGUUA